rnacentral:lncRNA from 1 species
UGAUUUUUGUGCAAGUUCAGGUCACAAAGUGAGUGCGAAUAAGAAAUUUAUCUUCUUCUCUUGCGACAUUAACACAUGUAAGGCUAGUCGUAUUAGCAAGAAUUUUGGUUUUCAAGUCUCUAAUAAUCUUGGUAAAUACUUGGGGGUUUGUUAUAUGUUAGGAUCAAUAAAGAUACUUACCACUAUAUCCUUGAGAAAAUUAACCAAAAGUUGUCUGGCUAGAAUGUUAAUGAUGCAAAUAAU